rnacentral:lncRNA from 1 species
UUUCCUUGGAGUCAAAGUGCUCACUACAGAUGUGGAGGAGCUGCUGAACCGUCAGCACAUUCCCAGAGCCUGCAUAGGCACAUACAUCCACCAGGGUGUUGGCAAAACUGCGGAAUGGCUCUGACACCACCUCCAAGUCAGCCAGGAUGGCCUCAAUAGCUUCGCCUUUCCCCAAGUGAUUGAGGCCCAGGCCAAGAGGAAGCCAACGAGCACAGCUCCAGGAACACUCCACGCCGAGCCAGCAUGGAUGCCAUCUGCUUCUGGACCACCACAUCUUUGCAGGAAGUGAAAAUGUCUUCUACCAGUUCCAUGUCAUUGAGCAUCAGUGCCAAUCUCAGAGAUUCAGGGAAACGGCUAAACUUUCGGAACAUGCGCAAGGCACAGCGCAGGAGGGCAGAGUUCUCAGGUUCUGGUAAAUAAUUCACACAACUGGUGAGAUAGAGGCAGACCUUGGCGUAGGCAUUCUCAUCGAUGUCCUUCUCUAGCACAUCGACCUGCUCAAUUUCCAUGAGCAGGUCACAAGCCUCGUGCUCUGCAUUGUGAGCCAUGUUGUAGGGGACGAUUUCCUUUACCAAGGUAAGCAGUGGUUCCCGCUGUGCUUUCUCUGCAUCAUCCAGCUCCUGCCACUCCUUAGUCACUUCUCCUGCCAGAUGUCUGACGUAUUCAUGGCCCCAUGACGCCAAUUCUUCCUGGGAGCCCACGAGCCGAUACUUGAGGCACUCCCGCUCACCACUCAUGGUCAUGGCCAAAACAGAGAUGAUGUCAGCUGCAAAACACUUAUUCUCCCCAGGGGCCAUGUUCUCAUAGAUUUCCUUCAAUUUGCCAUAGUGUGGACGCAGAAAUUUGAGAGGCUUGGGUACUGAAGUCAUGGAAGUUGUAGAAGAAUGAAUUUGUCUUCUCAGUUCCUCCAGAGCUGGUCGAUAUAGAGAU